AAAAAUGAUAGCUCAUGUGUAACUGUGUGUCAGGUGUCAUUCUGAGCACUUGACACACAUGGCCUUAUUCAGUCCUCACGUUCGUCUUUAUUAUUCACAUUCUCCAGAUGAGGAAACAGAAUUAGAGAAAGUUGAAUAACUGGCCAAGGUUAAAUGCUAUUAACAUUGGCAAAUUGGGUAGAGGAGUUGCUGAAGACGUGGGAGGAAUCGCAGGUGUCUCCAGGUGUUCAAGGCUGGAGGGCAGGGAACACAAUUUGGAUGGUUUUGUGGAAGCCUGAAGGGUGAGCUCCUAAGAGGAAGUUACAACAUCAGCAAGUGGCACCCUCUUCAACAGUUUGCCAGGGAGGAGAGAAAAGUCAAAGUCUCUACAAAUUCAGCAUUUAGCAAAGUGUCAGCAUAGAGUUCUUACCUAUUGAAG
rnacentral:lncRNA from 1 species